AGCGAACGCUGGCGGCAGGCUUAACACAUGCAAGUCGAGCGGGCGUAGCAAUACGUCAGCGGCAGACGGGUGAGUAACGCGUGGGAACGUACCUUUUGGUUCGGAACAACACAGGGAAACUUGUGCUAAUACCGGAUAAGCCCUUACGGGGAAAGAUUUAUCGCCGAAAGAUCGGCCCGCGUCUGAUUAGCUAGUUGGUAGGGUAAUGGCCUACCAAGGCGACGAUCAGUAGCUGGUCUGAGAGGAUGAUCAGCCACAUUGGGACUGAGACACGGCCCAAACUCCUACGGGAGGCAGCAGUGGGGAAUAUUGGACAAUGGGGGCAACCCUGAUCCAGCCAUGCCGCGUGAGUGAUGAAGGCCCUAGGGUUGUAAAGCUCUUUUGUGCGGGAAGAUAAUGACGGUACCGCAA
rnacentral:rRNA from 1 species